AGCUUUGCACAGCGGCAGUAUCAUAGCCAAUGAGGUUUAUCUGAGGCGCGAUUAUUGCUAAUUGAAACUCUCUGUGGUUCUUUUGACUAUUUUCUACUUAUCUCUCCAUUAUGUUCAUACUUUCCUGAAAAUCCCUGAACAUAUAUUUUUUUC
rnacentral:snRNA from 1 species